GGAAGGUGGGGAGUGACGUCAAAUCAUCAUGCCCUUAUGACCUGGGCUACACACGUGCUACAAUGGUUGGUACAACGAGUUGCGAGUCGGUGACGGCGAGCUAAUACUCUUAAAGCCAAUCUCAGUUCGGAUUGUAGGCUGCAACUCGCCUACAUGAAGUCGGAAUCGCUAGUAAUCGCGGAUCAGCACGCCGCGGUGAAUACGUUCCCGGGCCUU
rnacentral:rRNA from 1 species